GAGCUAAAGAUGUUUGGCGUUUAUCGCGUGGUCACUUCAGAGGUAAAUAAAUGAAAUUAAUCUCGUGUUUUUUUUGUUGUGUAGUGUACAAGAUUUCAAUUUUUGCUAAUCAUGUCAGAUUUUUUUUGCGAUGUUGAAGAGCUGUGGUGUUUAAGGCGCGUGACCGGAAUUUUUAACUAAUUUAACGUUACAGCAUCCUGACGCGCUAACGGAUUUUUUGUACCAAACGGGACCAGAAAGGCGGAAUAUUGAGGUAAAGUGGGAUUUAUAUUCGCACAUUUGUUCAUUUUUGAUCAGUGACACGGUCUUUAUGUCGUUUACCACGCUACUUUGAAUAUUAGGUCUGAAAUUGCGUUCAAGUAUUACUUCAAAACAACAUUACCCUGUUUAAUUGACUGUAAACAAUGUUGUACUUUGAUAGUCACGUGGUGCUAAUAUUUAGAAUUUGCAAGCAAUACUUUUCUGAAAUUACGGUAUAUUAUUAAAGAGAAAGUCAUAAUGUGCGAAUAUAAAACCAACUUACCCCAAUAACUUUAGACAGAUUGAGCCAAAGUUGGUUUUAUAUUUGCACAUUCGGUCAUUGACAACUUGUGACAUGCUCUCUAUAUGGUUUACCAUGGUACUUUAAAUACUCGGUCUGAAAUAACAUGCAAGUAUGACUUCAAAACAACAUUAGCACUAUUUAUUUGCCUGUAAACAAUGUUAAUUUGCUAGUCAGUGGCUGCUAAUAUGAUUUCCUUAUGUAAAAUUUGCAAAUAAUACUUUUCUGAAAUUAUUUUAUUAAGGAGAAAGUCUGAAUUUGUGCAUAUAAAACCAACUUUACCCCAAAAAGACGGAAUGAAACUGUAGGUGCGUUAAACUUUGUGUCCCCACACGGCCCGUCUUCAGCUCUGCUCAUGACACUGAUGUUUCUUUGACAUCUGUUGUUUAUUGAGAGGAGAAACAGAAGGAGAUUCAUUCAUUCAUUCAUUUUCGUUUUGGCUUAGUCCCUGUAUAAUUCAGGGAUGAACUGCCAAUUUAUCCAGCAUAUGUUUUACACAGCGGAUGCCCUUCCAGCUGCAACCCAAUUCUGGGCUACACCCAUACACACUCUUUCACACACAUACACAACAUUCACCUAUAGCUCGUGUGUUUGGACUGUGGGAGAAACCGGAGCACUGACCCAGCCGGGGCUCGAAACAGCGACCUUCUUGCUGUAAGGCGAUCGUGCUACCUAAACUGCAAUUUAAUCUGGAACUCCCACGUGUAAAACGACUGCUGGAUAACCCCACCGGCUCUGCCUGCAGGUUUUGGAGGUUGGCAGGUUGUUGAUGCGGCGACUCAGGAAAGCAGUCAGGGCAUCUUCCUCUGCAGAAGCUGUAGCUGCGGUGCGCAGCGGACGGGUCUACCUCAAAUACCACACACCCUUGAUUCUUGCUGAAGCUCUUCAGAGGAGCGCAGUGCAGAGGAAACAGGCUGUAGCUUCAGCUCUGAGUGCUCUAUGGUGGCAGCAGCAGAUGUGACUGUGAACAUGAGGACGGUGGAGCGUGAUUGGAUCAGGACGCAGUGCAGCAGCUCUGCUUGGACUGGAACUCCAGAGCUGCUAGGCCGCCGGCUACACCGAAUAUUGAGGAAAGACCAGACCAGAGCUCAACUUAAACCUCAUGAGGUGAAAUUACAGGUGGUGCACGACAGAGACAUCCGUUCCCAAACGUUCAGGACCACAGAAGCUUCUACAAACAAGAUGAAGAACAUUCCCUUCAUCUAAUGAACACAAACAGCUUCAGCACAAUCAAGAACAAAAAUAAUAAUUAAGUCGGUGCCAAUAGCCUAGUGGUUAGUGCGUCGACACAGCGCCCAGGUGCUCAGGGCGACCUGAGUUCGAUUCCCGGCUCAAGGUCUUUUGCCGAUCCUUCUCCUAUCUCUGCUCCCCACAAUUUCCUGUCUGUAAAUCUUCACUGUCCUGUCAAUAAAGGUGAAAACCCCUAAAUAAAUGAAUAAAAUUGGGUCUGGGUUUUGUAAGAGAGAGUGUGUGAAUGGUUUACCAUCACAGUUUGAUGAUGUUAUUGUAUUGUUUUGUUUGGGAUGUUGGAAUA